AGCAUCAGGCAGGUGGGGUGAGAAAUUCCGUGCUACCCUGACACGGUUGUGGGUGUGCAAGAAGAUUGUCCAUGCAGAAGACAAAAACGCACAGCCUGGCAGGGGAAAAAAGGACACACCAGAGGAAAAGGGAAUCUCUCAUCUGUCAAGUGCCCUGGGAGAAGUGAGACAAGUCUGGAAUUCCUGCCUAUGAACCAGGUUGUGAUUAGGUCUGCCAUUCAGCUGGAUUCUGACAAACUUUCCAGAGAGGUUGAUGUUAGGAGAAAACCCAGAGAAGCCAAAUCCUCAGUGUGCAGCUGCAGUGUCCUUGUCCCUGGCCAGGGCCACGUGUGCAUGCAGGGGGGAAGGAGGAUGAGGAGCUGAAGGCUGCAGUACUCCCAAAGCACCUGGCUAACAGGAUUUACUGCCACCCCCGAGCGUGAUCAGCAAAAUUCAGGUUGGUGUUACAGAGAGGUGAAAUGGAAACAAGGAGCCCUGUCAGCCUGCGUCCCACAGCAGCCAGUUGGUCAUGGAUGUUUCA